rnacentral:misc_RNA from 1 species
GGAUGAUCAAAAGACUGCCAAAUUGUGCGCUUUCUCUUAUCGAAGAGCACAAGAUUUCCCAUUUCUGUUAAGUUUAAGCCAGAAACAGAUUUCCCAAUUGUAUCAGUGGACCAAACAAGAGUGCCAUCAGAGUCUGUCAAGACCAAGUUGCCAUCUUGGCCUAGUUCCAAGGUUGCAUUGAAUUUCACUGGAUGGUUCCUAUUAGCAGACCAAACCAACUGGGGUU